CGUCUCUCCUUUCCUGUCUGUGAUAUCCACUCGCGCGUGGCACUCCAGCAGCUCCUGCAGGCAGGCCAUGUCUCCCUUGCGGCACGCCAGGUGCAGCGGGGUGCAGCCAUCCUCACUGUCCGUGCUAUUCACACAGCUGAGCACACGGUUGUGCCGGAAGGUCUCACGCGGGCCAACCUCCACCGCUACGUGUGCCGGGGACCAGCUG
rnacentral:lncRNA from 1 species